rnacentral:lncRNA from 1 species
CCUUUUUGACACAACCCACCCAUGGUAAAAUCUACCCCAACACGCUUAGAUUUUCCAAACCAUCAUUCCAUCUUGCAGUGUUAAUGUCACAUUGCAGGCUUGUUUCUCCAACCAUAGGCUAGCUUGUAACAAUAACAACAACAUGGCAGCUUCUGAAUUUCGGAUCAUUUUGUAUGACUUAAUAUUUUAUCAUUAUGUGAUUACCAUCCUAUAUUAGCAAAUAGCAAGUGCCAACUGCCAAAUAGGCAACCUAAAUAUGACAGAGGGUCCAAUGAAAAUACCUAUACCCACAAGUGGAAACAAGAUCAUAUAUAUAACCUAUGAAGUAGAUAACAAACAGGAGAUGAUAGUGGCAUAGAUCAGUGCAGCAUAAAUCCUACGUCAAACAAACAGGAUUCAAAUAAAUACACGGGGAUCUACAGAAUUAUUAAGGGGUAAAAGAAAAAUUAGAGUCAUCAAAUCCCGUACCUUGAUUUCUCAUCUUCCCGCACAUAGUGGCCGAAACUGUACCUCCGCAGCUUUUACUUCAUAACAGGCUACAGCUUAAACUGUAAGCGAUGUUUGGCCCAGCUGCACUGCGGCCUGGACAGACAGCCCCCACCUCUCGCCCCAGGCUCCAGUGAAGCUACAAUUAUCCUCCAGUAUCCCCAUUUCCAACCGUCCUUCAUCUCCUACCUUUGGCAUCUCCAACAAACCACAUUACAUCUCCAUUCCUAUCUCAUCGUCUUGAUUUCCUUUAGGAAGAUCUUCGCCACAUCAUUUUUCUUUGUUAACUAAUCUG